AUACUCAUCAUCUGAUUAGCCAUCUCCAUCUUUUUCUUGAUCUCAUUACCCACAAUUGUUCCCAUUUCUUCAAUUCCAUCGGAACAAGUCUCACCGUCAGUCAUGGCGGCGCUGAUCCAAGUCUUAACAUCUCCGACGACUUCUUCCGUCAACCAAUUAUUCCCACCUUUCUUCUUCUUUCUCUCGAUCUCUGUAAUCGAAUCGUUGAGUUGACUCAACG